rnacentral:rRNA from 1 species
CGCGUCUCCGUUAAUGAUUUUAGGUGCUUGCAUUUGAAAGAUUUAACAUUGAGACGAGUGGCGAACUGGUGAGUAACACGUGGGUAACCUGCCCUUGAAGUAGGGGAUAACACUUGGAAACAGGUGCUAAUACCGUAUAACAACCAAAACCACCUGGUUUUGGUUUAAAAGACGGCUUCGGCUGUCACUUUAGGAUGGACCCGCGGCGUAUUAGCUUGUUGGUAAGGUAACGGCCUACCAAGGCGAUGAUACGUAGCCGACCUGAGAGGGUAAUCGGCCACAUUGGGACUGAGACACGGCCCAAACUCCUACGGGAGGCAGCAGUAGGGAAUCUUCCACAAUGGACGAAAGUCUGAUGGAGCAACGCCGCGUGAGUGAUGAAGGGUUUCGGCUCGUAAAACUCUGUUGUUGGAGAAGAACAGGUGUCAGAGUAACUGUUGACAUCUUGACGGUAUCCAACCAGAAAGCCACGGCUAACUACGUGCCAGCAGCCGCGGUAAUACGUAGGUGGCAAGCGUUGUCCGGAUUUAUUGGGCGUAAAGCGAGCGCAGGCGGUUUUUUAGGUCUGAUGUGAAAGCCUUCGGCUUAACCGGAGAAGUGCAUCGGAAACCGGGAGACUUGAGUGCAGAAGAGGACAGUGGAACUCCAUGUGUAGCGGUGAAAUGCG